rnacentral:rRNA from 1 species
CAGUCGCCGCGGUAAAACGUAUGUCACAAGCGUUAUCCGGAUUUAUUGGGCGUAAAGGGAGCGCAGGCGGUUUAGUAAGUCUGAAGUUAAAGGCAUUGGCUCAACCAAUGUAUGCUUUGGAAACUGUUAGACUUGAGUGCAGAAGGGGAGAGUGGAAUUCCAUGUGUAGCGGUGAAAUGCGUAGAUAUAUGGAGGAGCACCGGUGGCGAAAGCGGCUCUCUGGUUUGUAACUGACGCUGAGGCUCGAAAGCGUGGGGAGCAAACAGGAUUAGAUACCCCCGUAGUCCCUGUCUCUUAUACA